rnacentral:rRNA from 1 species
UACGUAGGGGGCAAGCGUUUGUCCGGAUUUAUUGGGCGUAAAGAGCGUGUAGGCGGCUUUUACAGGUCCGUUUGUGAAAACUCGAGGCUCAACCUCGAGACGCCGGUGGAAACCGUAAAGCGAGAGUGCGGCAGAGGGGGGUGGAAUUCCACGUGUAGGCAGUGAAAUGCGUAGAGAUGUGGAGGAACACCGAUGGCGAAGGCAGCCCCCCUGGGUCGACACUG